rnacentral:lncRNA from 1 species
GUCAGACAAAAAUUUAGUGUUUACACCUCAAACCAAAUAAUAAAAACCCAAUAAUUAAUUAAAUGUUCAAAGUCCAGAUUACAUGACCCAAGAUCCAUUUACAAAUUAAAGCCCAACUACCCUGGCCCAAGAACAAAAAAUUAGUAUAGAAACCCUAGCGCCGCAACCAAGCCGCUCAGUGCCGUACGCUCCGUACCACCCCUGCACGCCUCUGUGCGCCACCCUCAUGCCUCCAUGUCACCCCGUACCUGCAAACAAAAACAAGCAAACGACAGCAGGACAACAACAAAUAGGAAAAAUGAAGAAAAAUUGUAUUUUGAUUUAUUCUUUUUCAGUUUCGGCUACAAAAGCAAGAACAGAGCGAUUGUAAGGGGCUCUCUUUCUCUUUUUUUUUUACACAUAUAUGCAUAUUGAAUAGAAGAGCAAUAAAAAAAUUGAAAGGUGAUUUUAAGCACCUUAUAUUUCUGUGUUUCGAAUCUAUUUCAUUUUUUUCUUUUCGUUUUGUUUUUUAGUAUAACGAAAUAAAAUAGUAAUCUCACCUUGCGAAUAAGCCACUGGUUCUCAAUUGCUUCGUUCAAAUCGAAGUCAAGAAAGGAUUUUCAGGCUGAAAAUAGAUUCGCCGGAGCCCUCAAAACCACCGGUCACCGUUCUUGGUGGUGGAUCAGUGAUGGGGUUAAAAAAAUGGGGCUAGGGUCUGCUGGUAAAGAUGAAAGGAGGCUAGGGUUCGGUAGAAUGGGCUAAAUUGGAGCUUUUAUAAGCAACAUAGAACGGCGCCGUAUAGGGAGUAAGGGGCGCCGUAUAGGGAGUAAGGGAACCCGCGCGUCGACCCGACCCGUAGUAGGAUCCGCGCCCUUUUGCUCAAAAGGGAAAUUUGCGCGAUCAACCCUUCCCUUUUGUGCCACGUCUCAUUGGACUCCAAUUGGCCUCCUAUCCUUUUUUAAUUUUUUCCAAAAGCUUAUGCGCUAUUGCAUUUUAGUCCUUGUUUGUGCACUGCGUUUUGAGGGUCUGGUAUAUUUCCAAUUUAAGUCCCUCUGCGUUCGCGCGCACUGCACUUCGGUCCCUAUUUCGUUUUCAAUUACUUGUUUUAUUUAUUAAUUAAUCCUUUCAGUUUGUAUUUAGCUCACUUGAGUUUGUUUAUUUUAGUUAUGUAAUUUUUCGUUUUUUUUAUUCUUAUUUUUCAUUUCAAUUUUUUUAACCUUUCUAACAUAUGGUUUUAAAUUGUGUUAUCAAAUUUACUUUAUGUUCGUAUGUUAUUUUUAUACUUACGUUUGGAUAUAUGCUUUAUUUGUUUUACUAUAUGCCUAUUUAUUCUAAAGUUCUCUUCCAUCCUCCGUUGUUAAAUUUUUUUAUGUUAUUCAUCUAAAUACUCUUAUACAUUAGUAUUCUUAUAUAUAUUAUUUACGUUAAACUAUUUUUUUAAAUCUAUGUGUAUUAUUUAUUUAAACUAAUGUAUAGUAUUUCGUAUAUGCUUACUCUAAUCUUCUUCUUUUGAUAUUUAUUUUAAAAAUCCAUUUUUACAUUACUAAUUUGUAUACUGUUUAUUUUAGCUAUUUCAUCUUUUUGGUUUAUCUCAAACUUUCAUGCAUAUUACUUAUUUUAAAAUUAUAUAAAUUAAUCUUAAAUUAUUUUAUUUUAUUUUUUUUAUGUGUAUAUUGUUUCAUUAUAUAUUGAUUUGUUAUUCUGUCAUGUAUAUCGUUUAUUCUUUAUUUUUAUCAUAUCUUCAUUAUAUAUUGUUUUCAUGAUUUUUAUUAUUGUAUGCAUAUCAUCACCUUUAAGUAAAUAUAUUUUGUUUUUAAAAAAUAUUGUUGUAUGUUAUUUGCUCCAAAUCUCUUCUUUCACAAUGUUUAUUUCAAUAUUAUUUAUUAGUGUUAUUUUUAUAUAUAUGCAAAUCAUUUCAAACCCUUUUAUAUGUUGCUCAUUUGUAAUUUUUCAUAUUAAAUAGUUUUCAAAUUGUUUCCAUAUUGUUUUGUAUAUUAUUUAUAUUAUUUUGUUAUAAAUUUGUUUUCAUACUUAUAUAUACGUAAAUGUUUCCUAUAUUAUCAGCUUUGAAUGGUUGAACAUUAUGUUUUUACAUGCAUUGUUGAUCUUCUAUUGUUUUAUAUAUUUUCCUUUAAAUCUAUUUCAUUGUAUAUUUCCUUUUAAAUCAAUUUUUCAUAUAUAUAUAUAUGUACAUAUAUAUAUUUAAAAAAAAAUCUAUUAUGUAUAUAGUUCACUACAUAAGAACAUAUUUUAUUAUAUAUUCUUUUGUUAUUCAAGAACCUUUCAUGUUUUGUAUAUUAUUUAAGUUUUCUUUCAUUUUGUAUGUAUAUUAUCGAUUUAAAAUAGAUGUAUUAUUUUGCAUGCUAUUCGAUUCAAAAUCAUUUUUUAAUAAUUAUUUAUACAGUAUUCUUAUCCAUGUAAAUUAUUUCAAAUUCGAGCAUGUAGUAUUCGUUCAUCGAUUCAUCAUCUUUUUAAUUGUUUUGUAUCAUAUUGGUUUUAUUUUGUUUGGUACAUUAUGUGGUAAUUGUUUCAUAUUAUUUCAUGUAUAUUGGUUGCACAUCAUUAAUUCGCCUUCUUAUGUAUUAGUAUAUCAAUCGCUGUUUACCCAUGCUUGUAAAUUUUGUUGUUUUAAAUUAGUUGUUUAUUUGAUUUGAUUGGUUAAAUAAGAUUAUGUUGUCUUCAUUUACCAAGUGUCAUAACUUAUGUGUAUAUUAUCCCAUAUCAUUGUUUUCCACUUGGUUUGCGAAAUGUGGUUUUAUAAGGUCCAAAUCUUUAAGAUCAAUUUCGUUUUAUUUUAAGUCGCAUUAACUCGUUUUAAGCUACUUUUACAAUUAUUCAUUUAAAAAUUCUUUAAAACGAAGGCAAUACUCGAUGUUUGGCAAUUCGAGAAUCGUGCCUUAUCGUGUUGGGUUGCGAUUUUCCAUUUGUUCAAAACAAUCGAAUACUCCUUUGGAAUUUCGCUUAUGUCUUUAAAAAUUCUUCAAAACGAAGGUAAUGUUCGAUGUUUGGCAAUUCGGGGAAUCGUGCCCUAUCGUGCUGGGUUGCGAUUUCCUGUUUGUUCAAAACAAUCGAAUAUUCCUUUAGAAUUCCACUCAUGCUCUCUAAAUUCUAAAACAAGACAAUGUCCGAUGUUUGGAAAUUCAAGGAAUCGUGCCUACUGUACUGGGUUUUGGUUUUUCGUUGGACUAAAUAAUUGGGCAUCCUUUUGUAAUUCUCAAAUUAUAAACUUUUGAAAGUCAAAAUUGAUCGUGGUUCCGAGGGUAUAAAGGAUCGUGUCCUAUCGUGCUGGAUGUGAUGCUAUAUUCCUCUGAAACAAGAUGACUUUGACGACCAACUCGGGUUAUUCAAAUGUUAUUAAAAGGAACCACAUUUCAAAAACAUUUUUAAAUUUCAGACAUAAGGACAAUAUUUAAUCGAUUUGGUACCAAUUUUGGGCGUAAUAAGGGUGCUAAUCCUUCCUCAUAUGUAACCGACUCCCGAACCCAUUUUUUCAUAUUUACGUAGGCCAAAAUCGUUGUUUUAGUAAAAAAAAUAUUUUAUUAAAAUAACCAAAUCCUUAGGUGACCCGAUCACACCUAAACAAAAAAGAUUGGUGGCGACUCCAUAUUUCAUUUUUCAAAAAGUCGAUCGUCCUUUUUAAGACCUAAAAAGGGUGGUUUCGACAAUAGUAAUACGAUUCAAGAAUGCAAAUCCCAAAUGUAGGACUCAAUUUAUUAUUUCUAACAUUAAUUUUAAGACAAAAUUCGGCUUUUACUUAUCCAUAUGGGCAUGGUUUUAAUUAGAAAUCGGCAGUGAGAGGGAAGCAAAGGCUUGGAGCUGCUCGCCGGAGUCGAUCUGCUUUCCUGGAUCGGAGAAGGCAAAGAGGAAGAAGUCCAUGAAAUCAAAGUCCUUGUAAAGCUGAGGAUGUUGCUCAUCUAUAAGUUCUUUGGGUGCUUUAAUUAUGGUACCCUCAACUGGAAUGGCAAAGGCUGCUAUAGAAAAUCGAUCUUUAUCUCCACUCAUCAUUACUCUGUGAUUCACCGCUUUUAAUCUCCCAUUACUCCAUGCCUUCAACUUUUAAAAAUCAACAUCACUAAAUGUUUUAUGAUAAUUAUUCUCAUUCAAUCAUACUCCAUGCCUUGUAUUUCAUGUUCUAUUUAAUAGAUCAUGCAUACUUGUUAUGUUUGAGUAAAUUAAAAAUUGAACAUUAACCGUAUAUAUAUACAUCUUGAGAGGAUCUCCAACCACAAAGCAAAAGGAAGAAGGAGAUAAGGACAACUUGAUCCAUUUGCCAUCACUAACCUCAAUUUCUAGCCCUGAAACUUGAUCAUCACAAAUGAUUGUACUGACAGGUUUAUCAGUAUGAGCAAAGAGUCCUCUCUCAUACUCUCUCGGUGGAGGGGUCAUGUAUUUCAUAAACCGCACAAGUGUUUUGUAGUUUAUCAUCACUGACUCCCAUUUCUCUCCUAAUCCAUAACUAUCAAUUAUCAUUAACCAAAUUAACUUGUUAAGCUCCUCUAUUUGUGUCGACAUGGUAUGGACUGUGUUGCUGGAAUAAAAGAUCAAAAUAAAAUGACAAUAACUCUAAUAACUCUAAUUUGCAUAUAAUAAAAAAAAUUUGGAAAAAGAAAACAACAACAUUGGCCACAUGAUGAAAUAAUAAUAAAAAAUGAACUAUAAAACGAAGGAGGUGCAAUGGUGAAAGAAAAAAAAACCAAUAUCUUCAUUUUCAAUUUCGGCAACAUGAAAAAAUAUAUCAGUAAUUCAAUUCUGCCUGUUUUUAGUCUUGUAGAUGAUUAGAAAUUAGAAAUUAGAGGUGUUUAAGGGUGAAAGAAAAUUUUUAAGGCCGGCUCACCUCGUUAAAAUUAACCGAUUUACUAUUUUAAAAUAAUAAAAUAUUAAAAAUUCCUAUAUUGAUAUUGAUAUUUAUAUAUUUUUAUUAUUAAAAUUUUAAAUUUAUUUAAUUUAAAUAAAGGCUUAUUUGAGGACAAAAAUUUCUUGCACUUGGGUAGAGUCAAGCCUAUGUUUUAUUAAAUAUAUAUUUUUCUUUUACAUUAAUGUAUACUGUUAACUAAUAAGAUUCUUUUACAUUAAUAUAUACUGUUAACCAAUAAGAUUAAUAAGGAAGAGAAGAAGGUUAAUUUCGUGGUGAUUCACUUUUAGUUGUGACGAAGAGUCACCGAAUAUUCAGCUGGGUAAAGAUAAUUCUGGUGGUAUGCUCAGGUAGAAAGAGAAUGAGGGUGGAAGAAGGAUGGUUUUUCAGUCUUGGUCUCUCUCAAGUGUUGUGCUGAGUUAAUAUAUUGGAGGACAAAGAUGUCAACGCGCCUUGAGCUUAUUGACAAUGGAGUUACACUUUGUUCUCUUAUGGUGAUAAUGAUGUGACGUUCUAGUAUAUGACCCCUUAAGGCAGUUGAGUAAUCAAUAAGUCUGAAUCCUCAUGUGCGUUUCAUGCAAAUCUAGUGAGAGUAAUCUUAUGAAGGUUCACCAUUUUAUCAUGGUCUGAAGUUUUCCAAACUCGCCCAAUUGGAGAUUCCCUCAAUAUAGACACACGGAGGGACACAAGAAAGAAAUAUAACAUAUAUAUAAUUAAAUUAAAAUGUAAAUAGUUAACAUUUAAUUGCAUUAAAAAAUAUUAGAAGAGAAAGAAAAGGUAAUAAUCAAACAUAAUUAUCAUUUGAUAAUAUUUUUUUGGAAAAAUAAUUAUCAUAUGGGAGAGCAAAUAUCCCCAGGCAAUUGUGGAGAGUGACGCUAUUAGUUAAGAGUAGGUAAAAUUUGAUUCGAUUCAAAAAAAUUAAAAAACAUCGAAUUUUGAGUUAAUUGAUUUUUUCGGGUCAAAUCAAAUAAGUGAUUUGAGUUCGAGUCAAGUUGAAUUUUAUAAUUUAAAUAAGUAGAAUAAUUCAAAUAAUAGAUUAGUGUAAAUACUUCUUUGGUCCUUGUCAAUUUUGAAAAUGAACAAAUUAGUCUCUCUUUCAACAAAAAUUAAAAAAAAUCAAAAUAAUUUUUAAAAUUCAAAAAUUUAUCUUUUAAACCAUUAUAUAUAUUUUAAAAAAAAUCUAAAUAAUAUAUAAAAAAGUUAAAAUUUUACCUUUUUUCUAAAAAAAAAUCUAAAUAAGUUAAUUAAUGAUUCAAGUUUAUCAUAUUAAAAUAUCUUAUUUCCCCACCUUAUUUUGCUUUGAAAAAUUUUUAAAUAUAUAUGCUUUCAAAUUUACGUGCUCUAACAUGAAAUUAGUUAUACUGUAACAAAAUUUUAAUUUGACAUGUUUACUUUUUUUUAAUUUAAUUCGAACAAUUUUACUCGACUUAAAUUUUAUUUCAAAUCGAGUUAAGAUAAUAAAAUAAAAUUCAUCAACUCAAUUAACUUAAGAUAUUUUUACUCUGUUCAAUCUAACGUUAAUCCCUAUCUUGAGUGCUAUUAAGAACAACCCUAAGGUGGGCUAUCCAUCGGCCAUAGUUCGAAGGAUCAUGCAUGUACUCCGGUAACAAUGCGCUCGAUAUUUUGUGCUUUGUUUCCUCUCUUUAUUAUAAAAAAGAAAAAGAAAAAAAAAGAAAAAGCAAAUAUGCUCGAAAUGAAUCACCACACAUCAUCAAUCUCAGUCUUAAGACAAAAUACAAUGACGGUAUAAAAACUUCCGAUCCAAUAAUAUCACAACAAAACACCAAGCCAAAAUCAUUUGAGACGAAUCAACAAUAAUUCAGGCGAUGAGCCCAAUUUUUAAUAACGAAUAUAAAAGUUCCUGAUUUCGCUUUUUCUUACAAUUUAGACACAUUUUCUAUUUAUUUGAUAUCAUAGUUAUAGCUUCAUCAAAAAGUUGUACAUAAGAUGUCAAUUAUUGCUUCUUCUUUUACAACUUUCCCUUCCUUCUCUGCUACAUAUCUGAUUUAAUCCCAAAUCCAUAUCAACUAAGGCCCCUUUUAGACACAUAGUUUGAGAUAGUCCAUUUCGGAUCAUUUUAGAUGGUAUAGGCUAACACCUUCAUCAUCUCUUUUAUCCAACCCCAGUCCCUUGUCAUUUUCGUCUAUUGAACCCAUAUCCAGCCUAUUACAAAUAUUAUUAAAUUCGUUGAUGGCCAAAAGCCCAUUAGCCAUCAUUCACCAUUGAAUUUGAUCAUCACCACCUAACAAAGGUCUAACCUCAUUAGCUUCUUCAAUGCAAGAGAUAAAGUCAUCAUCACACUCAACAUUAAAUAUAAGUAUUGUUCCCAAAAAGCACGGUUAAAAUUCUCACGUGCACCGCCAAAAGUAUUGGGACUCACCUCAUCCCACUGUGCAGUUAAUUUGAUGUCAUCUUCUAUCAUUUUCUGAUAAAAAAAUUUCCGGCCAACCACUGCUACUCGGAUUUGCAUAACAACACCACUUAUCGGACUUUAUAGUCUUUGUUGGUUCGCCUUUGAUAAAGCAUAGGCUACUAGAGUAGUAACAUCGAUGCAAAACUGAUCGAAUAAUAAUAUCAACAUUAACAUUCUAAUCUAACCUUAAUGCAAUUCACCCAACUAAUUCGUAGUAACUUGGAACAACCAAAUUGAAGAGAAAGGGAGCAUAAUCAACUAUAGGCAAUGAAACAAUUAGAAGCUGAAACUUCAAGCAAAUUCAUCAAUCAAGGUAAUGGAACUUAUUUUUCUUAUAAAUAUAAAAAUCCACAACAAAAGUGGUUGAAUCCAUGAAUACAACAAAAAGGAGUAGAAAACCGGUCGGGUGAAAUCAAUUUUUCUUUUUGGAAUUAAGUUAUAUAUUCAGUAAAUGAUUAAAUUACAUUUUUAUUAUUUUUUAGAAUCAAAUAUAAUUUUAUCAUUAUUAAUUUAAAAUUUUAAAAAUUAUAAAAUAACUGAAAGAGAAAUAUUUAUUUUAGAGAGACUAAGGCUCACGCAAACUCUUUGGCUCCGCCCUGUAAAUAACAAUUAGGCCAACCAACAAAAUACUGGGGACACUUAUAAUGGGCAAAGGGAAACUUGCUUUUUGGGUUAAAAUUAAGUUAUAUAUUUUUAUCAAAAAGUUAAAAUGCAAUUACAUCAUUAUGUUAUCUUAUACCUUUUAAAGUUUUAAAAAGAUUAAAAGAAAAUUCAAUCACUUAAACUUAAUUCUUCAAAAAAAUAUUUAAAUAUAAAAUAUAUGAAUUUUUUUAUAUUAUGUUAUUACAUAUUUACCUUUUUAAUAGUUUAUAUAUACAAGAAUAAAUUAGUAAUUUCAUAUAGUGAAGCACGUUAAAGUGGGGCAAGCAAUUAUCAUAGUCACUCUAUACCCACUACUCAAAAGAAAAAGUCCACUCUAUGCCAUCCCAAAUCCACUUUUCAAAAGAAAAAAACCCACUCCAUUUGCAAUGGAUCGAUUUGGAAUCUAUUGGGCGGUUCGGGUUUUGCAAUCUCUAAUUAUGAAGAUAUUAUUCUUUGGCUUAAUAUAUUGAUUAAUCCCUAAAUUUGGUAACUUUUCUCAAGUUAGCCCCUAAACUUUUUUUGAGAUCAAAUAGGUCCUUAAGAUUGGCAUAUCAGUUAUACAAAUUUGACUCUAUCAUUAACACUUCUUUUUAACAAGGUUGCGUAGCCAAACAUGUAGGUGACCUGAAUAACACGUGUUGUCCUAUUUAAUUAUUUAAAAAAACAAAAAAUCCUUCUCACCAACAAAAAAGAACCCUUAAAAUUAAAAAUAUAUAUACAUUUAAAAAAAUUAAAUAUAUAUGAAUUAAAUUUAAAAAAUAUGCUAAACAAUAAAAAGUAUAGUAAAAAAUUUAGAAAAUUGUUAUGUCAACUUAAUUGUCAAAGUCAAGGGACUAAAUGUUAUAUCCACCCUUUAUCAUAAAUGUAGCUUUCAACCAUUAUAUAUUGUCGUGAAUAUAUUAUUAUUUAUUGUUAUUGACAAAUAAGCUAAAAUUUGAAUUUACUUGAAACAUCUUAAUCGAAUUAUUUAAAUGAAACAACAAUAAGAAGACAAUGAAGUUUGUGUACAAGCAAAAUUGGUUCAAUAAAAAAAGUUGUAGCUACUGAUCUAUUGUCUGCUGUCUUCUUCUGAUUUAACCUUAGUCUCUCACCUAGAAAAAAAUUUAACAAUUUUUAUAAUUCUGGUUUAACUUUUAAUUCACGUGUGAUGUUUUAAUCUAUAAGUAAUUAUGAUAACAAUUUUUUACACUUUUAAUUGAGGUAAAAAAGAUCAGUGUAAUUUAUGGCUACUAAUUAGCUCUCGAAUUUGAACUUUAAUGCGUGCAUGGCUUCAAAUCCUCAAGUUCAAUGAGUAGGCGUCUUAUUGAAUCCAUGAACUGCCAUCUUACUGAAUUCAUACACCAACAUUACUCAACACAAUAGAUUUAGUAACCUACAAUUACAUGAUUAUAACAAACUAUAACAUGCUAAUACAUCACGAGAAUGCAAAUCCCAAACAUGGGAUUCAAUUUAUUAUUUGUAACAUUAAUUUAAAACCGAAAUCGAGCUUUUACUUGUGGAUAUGAUCAUGUUCUUAAUUGGAAAUCGGUGGUGAGAGAGCAGCAAAGGCGUCGAUCUGCUGGUUGGAGUUGAACGUCUUUGCUAGGUCUGAAGCGGUAAAAAAGAAGUACUCCAUGAAAUCGAAGUCUUUGUAAAGUUGAGGAUGUUGGUCAUCUAUAAGCUCUUUGGGUGUCUUGAUUAUAGUACCCUUGUUAGGAAUGGCGAAGGCUGCUAUAGAAUAUCGAUCUUUAUCUCCACUCAUUAUCACUUUGUGCAUCCCCGAUUUCAAUCUUCCAUUACUCCAAGCCUUCAAUUUAAAAAAUCAACAUCAAUAAUUAUUCACUUUCAACAUCAAUAAUCUAAUCUCAAUAUAUCUAUAACCCAAGAUCUUAUGUCAACAUUGUAGCGACGUAAAAAUUUCUUCUUUUGGUCACUAAUUGAGGUGAUUUAUUGGAAAUUUAAAAACCGACUUUCGAUUUUAUUAAAAAAAGGAGUCGCCACCGAUCCUUUUUUCUAGGUGUGAUCGAACACCUAAUAAAUCCUCUUUUUCAAAAUAAAAUUUAUUUUUUAAACAAAAAGAAGGCCGAGUUUAGGUCUACGUUUAAAGCCAGAGAAAAAAAUAGGGUUCGGGAGUCGGUUACGCACGAGGAAGGUAUUAGCACCCUCGCGACGUCCAAAAUUAGUAUCUUAUUAAACUUGUGUUGUCUUGAUUUUCAAAAGUACAAAUUCAAUCUGACAUUUACUCGUGAUCCAAUUGAAAAAUGAGAAUUUUUAGUUUUCGAUUUUUUAGAAAGGGUGUCCCGUUUUUAACACAAGCCGAUGAAUUUCACCCAACAUAGCGAUGAAAUCGAUGGCUUAAUAUUAAAUCGGUACAUUGCCUUAUUUUUGAAAUUAAUUAAAACAUGAGAAAAAAAAUUCCUAAAGUGAGAAAUUAGAAAUAGAUAAACGAUACAAAAAAAAGAUAUCAUUAAUGAAAAAUAUUAACAUGAAAUACUAGAAUAUUAGAAUAACAAUAAUAACGAUAUUUAUAAAAAAAACAAAUCAUUUACUAAUAAUAAAAUAGGAAAAAAUGAUAUAUUUGGUAAUAAUAAUAUAAAAUAAAAAUAUGUACAUAAAAAUACAUAUAUAUAUGCAUAUAAUAAAUAUAUGUAAUAAUAAUAAUAUCUACAAUAAAAGAAAAUAUUAGGAAACGUACAUAAAAAUAUAUACAUAAAAUUUUUUUUACAACAAUAAUAUAAAAUAAUGAUAUGUACAAAAUAUAUAUAUGUACAUAAUAUAGUUAUAAAAAUAUAUAUUAAAUUCGGAAUAGGUAAAUAAUAAUAAAAAGGGUAAGAAUAUACCGAAGCCCCAAUGUUAUGGAUUACUGAAAUUAAUCUCUUUUCUUCUCGGGCUGUUGAAAUGGGCCUUUGUUGGUGAUCUUCACCGGAUCAGAUUGCCUUAAAUAGAGUCAGGUUGACCCGACCAUUUUAAAAUUUAAUAUUUUUUAUUAUUGUAGUUUUUUUAGACCAAUUUUUGUUUAGCCCAAUUACAAAUAAAAUUUACAUAAAAGAUACAAAAUCCAAAUUACUUCAACCCAACACAAACCAACCUCAGCCCACUAACUUAAUAAUCCAACACAACCAACCCAACCCACUAACUUAACAUAUCACCCAACCCACUAAUUAACCCAAACUAAAUUUAACCCAUCAAACCUUACAUAAACCAACCCAUUAACUAAAAUAUUUCUUUUUUUUAAUACUAAACCCCCCCCCCCAAAACAAACAAGUUCCAGCAGCAAACAAAGAAAAUCCAAACUUCAAGCUGCCUAUUCUCCCUCUCCUUCCACCGUGCGCGUCACCAGCAGCCACCGUAUGCACCACAUGAAAUCAGGCUACGGGUAGUUAAGGUUUGGGUUUUGGGGUGGCUGAUAAUCGAUUGGCUCGGGUAUUUAGAGUGGGUUCCGGUUUGUGAGCUUGGUUGUGGUGUUAAUGGUGGUUAGUCCUUGGUUGCUUGGUUGCUUGCCGGAUAUUGGAGUUUUUUCUUGCUUAGAUUGUUGAAUGUUCCUUUUUGUUGUUUUUUUUUUGCUGGAAAAUUUUUUUGCUGAAAUUUUUUUUUUGCUAUUUUUUCUCAAAUGGGAGAAUCCUCCUCUUUUUUAUGUGGUUUUUUUUAUUUCUCCCAUUUUGCUUGUUUUUAUGCUAUUUGCAGGUAGUGGGUGAAGAAGGAGCAGCCACCCAUGUUUGUGGCCUGAAAAUCUGGGAAGUGGGUACCCCAAAUCACGUAAUCUGUCUGAAGGACCAAAUCACAAAUGCAGCAAAACUUCUGGGGCUAAAUGUAAUUUUUAGAAAAUGUAGGGUUAAAAUGCAAUUUAAGGAAAGUUUAGGGGUCUAAGUGAAAUUUAAAGAAAGUUUAAGGGUCAAAAUGAAAUUUAGGAAAAGUUUAAGGGUAAAAAUGCAAUUUUUAUUUUUUGAAAAUUUUUUAUUUUUAUUUUUUAAAAAUUUUGAAAAUUAAACAACAAACUCUAGUCGGACAAAAAUUUAGUGUUUACAGUUCCCCUUCUUUGCUCAUCUCUGUGAAACAGGGAUAGUGAAAAGACUUAAAAGCACUAAAUUUUGUUCGAUUGUCCAAUCUUCAUUCUUUAUUGAAAAAUAAAAAAAAUUAAAAAUAGCUCGGGAUGCGACCCGAAGUUCAACUCACCUCUCGAAUUAUGAGUUGAUCUUUUGAAAAAGAAAAAAAUUGAAAAUACCUCAGCGUAUGACCUGAGGCUUAACUCACCUCUCGCAAUAUGAGUUGAUUUUUUUGAAAGACAGAAAUUGAAAAUACCUCAAUGUGUCUUGAGGCUCAACUCAUUUCUCACAAUAUGAGUUGACCUUUUUUAAAAAAAAAAACAGGAAUUGAAAUUACCUCAGCGUGUCCCAAGGCUCAACUCACAUCUCGUAAUAUGAAUUGAUUUUUGAAAAACAUAAAUUGAAAAACGGAAAUCAAAAAUACCUCAACGUGUCCUGAGGCUCAAUUCACCUCUCGCAAUAUGAGUUGAUUUUUGAAAAAUAUAGAUUGGAAAAAACAGAAAUUAAAAAUACCUCAGCGUGUCCUGAUGCUCAACUCACCUCUCGUAAUAUGAGUUGAUUUAAAAACAGUCAUUAAGAACAGAAAUUAAAAAUACCUCAGCAUGUCCUGAGGCUCAACUCACCUCUCGCAAUAUGAGUCGACUUUUUUUUUGACAAACAAUAAUUGAAAAUACCUCGGCGUGCCCCGAGGCUCAACUCACUUCUCGCAAUAUGAGUUGAAUUUUGAAAACAGAAAAAACAUCAAAAUACUAAAUCCUGUCAUCUGGUUGAAUUCAGGUGUCUUUUCCUUUGAUUCAGUACAGCUAUCAUCACACCCUCUUGCUCUAUUGGAGUACCUGUAUAUGUCAUGCAUGAUGUCAUCAUGAUAUGCACAUGUUUAUCUUAAAUGCCUUUAUGCCUACAUGAUUAUGCUAUGCGCCUUAGGCAUGUUUGUCGUAUGUCCUUUUUCGUCACGAUUUUUGAGGGUCUGCAUUCGUUGCUUCGAUUCUCGACCUUCUCUUCAAACCUCGUACUCGUCUCCAAGCUUCACGAGUAAUCAACAUUUCUCAAAUAUCACCUUUUUGCCCCUGGUUGAACUUUGUACUUGCUUUGAGGCUCUUGUACUUAUCAAAUUCUUAUCCGGGUAAUGCUUAGCACUUCUUGUGUUUAGAGUAUGUCAUUUCACUAUUUAUCACGUAAAUGAACCACAUAAUGAGAUGCAUGAAAAUGGUUAGGUAGGGACAAAAGGAUACCUCACAUUUAUUCAUUUCAAAUUUAGCAAACAAAGAAAGUUAAUCAAUGAUAGUAAAAAAAAGUGUCAUAAAGAGAAAGGGGAUCGCAUUUCAACAAAUACAAAUGCUCUAGAUAUUCAACGCAUGAACUCUUCCACGUUCCUCAAUCAAGAAUCUUUUCGAGCAUGGCUUUCUUGCAUAAGAGAUUUCGAGUUUUCAGAAAUGCUUCAAAUACUGUAGUCUCUCUGUUUGACCCACCGUUCAAAAUGCCUUGCUUUUUAAGCCAAUGCUUGCUUCAUUAGAAUGCCCUUUCGGGUUUUCAUCCUAAUCUUUUGUGUUAAUCAAGGCGCCCUUUUCGGGUUUUCACCUUGAUCCCUCUCUCUUUUUCUUUUUUUUUUUAGGCAUAAUACUUCUUCACAGUAUCUGAAUUCACUGGAUUAGGUAACUCCUUCCCAUCCAUUUCAGUGAGAAUCAAAGCUCCGCCCGAGAAUGACUUCUUUACGACGUAUGGUCCUUCCCAAUUUGGUGCCGAUUUUCCUCGUAAGUCAUUCUGUAUUGGGAGAAUCUUUCUCAACACGAGUUCUCCUUUAUGGAAUUCUCUUGGCCGUACCUUCUUGUCAUGAGCAGCGAUCAUUCUCUUUUGGUACAUCUGCCCGUGACAAAUUGCCUUUAAACAUUUUUCUUCGAUGAGGUUUAACUGGUCAUAUCGAGCUCGAACCCAUUCUGCUUCCUCUAAUUUCGACUCCAUUAAGACUCGUAACGAGGGGAUCUCAACUUCGAUGGGUAACACAGCUUCUAUUUCAUAGACCAGAGAGAAAGGAGUUGCUCCCGUAGAUGUUCGUAGAGAUGUGCGAUAUGCAUACAAAGUAAAUGGUAACUUCUCGUGCCAGUCUUUAUACGUCUCGGUCAUUUUCCCAAUAAUCUUCUUAAUAUUCUUGUUGGCUGCUUCAACAGCUCCGUUCAUCUUUGGGCGAUAGGGCGAGGAGUUAUGAUACUUUAUUUGGAAUCGCUCACACACUUCUUUCAUCAUCUUGUUGUUCAAAUUCAAGGCGUUAUCUGAAAUGGUUCUUUCAGGCAAACCAUAUCGACAAAUGAUUUCCUUUUUCAAAAACCUGUAAACUGCAGUCUUCGUCACAUUGGCAAACGAUGUGGCUUCUAUCCAUUUUGUGAAGUAAUCAACAACCACAAAAAUGAAUCGGUGUCCAUUAGAAGCUUUUGGGGAAAUUGGCCCUAUAACAUCCAUGCCCCACAUAGAAAAAGGCCACGGAGAAGUCAUGACGUGAAGGGGCAAAGGGGCUAUAUGAAUUUUAUCACCAUAAAUUUGACAUUUGUGGCAUUUUCGUGUGAAAUUAAUGCAGUUGCUUUCCAUCGUCAGCCAGUAAUAAUCGAGUCUCAUAAUAUUCCUGGCCAUAGUGAAACCAUUGGCAUGUGUCCCGUAAAUUCCCUUAUGGACAUCUUCAAGUAUUUUUCUGGCUUCAAUAGCAUCUAUGCAUCUCAAGAGUACCUGAUCUUUUCCUCUUUUGUACAGGAUGUCCCCAUCAAGAACGAAUCCCGCUGCCAUUCUUCUGAUUGUUCUUUUGUCGUUCUCAUUUGCUUGCUCGAGAUACCUUUGAUUCUUGAUGUAUUCUAAGAUAUCAUGAAACCAUGGCCGUCCAUCUGGCUCUUUUUCAAUGCUGAAACAAUGUAUAGGGACUUCAUAUAUGCUCAUUUGAAGAGGCAUUAUUUCUGUUUCUCUGUUUGCUUUAAACAUUGAAGCUAAAGUGGCCAGGGCAUCAGCUAACUGGUUUUCUUCUCGUGGGAAGUAAUUAAAAGUUAUUUCUUUGAAUUAUUUAAUCAACCCUGCCACGAGAUCACUAUAUUUGACUAAUUUUGAAUCCCUUACUUCCCAAUCUCCACGAAUUUGAUAAAUCACCAAUGUUGAGUCUCCGUAUACCUCUAAAGUUUGGAUGUUUCGUUACAGGCCUCAUAUUCCGCUAUGUUAUUGGUACAGAAGAAAUUCAACCUGGCAGUCAACGGAUAAUGGUUUCCUUCUGGUGAUACUAAGACUGCUCCAAUCCCAUGCCCCAAUGCAUUCGAUGCACCAUCAAAGCUCAUCUUCCAUGACUUUUCUUUUGAUGACUCACAUUCUUUUUCUGUAAGGCACAUCAAGUCUUCAUCUGGGAAAUCAAAUCUCAAUGGCUCGUAUUUCUCCGUUGUUCAAGUUGCUAAGAAGUCAGCGUUGCGCUCCCUUUUAUCGACUUUUGGCUCAUAUAGACGAUAUCAUAUUCUGAUAGUAAGAUCUACCAUCGUGCCAUUCUUCCUGAGAGUGCAGGUGAUUCCAUCAUCUACUUUAUUGGGUCUAACUUUGAAAUUAGCCAUGUCGUAUGAUACAGCAUAUAUUGCCUAAGUCUCUGAGCUACCCAAACCAGAGCGCAACAGUAUUUUUCUAUGGACGAAUACUUUGCCUCAUAUUCAGUGAACUUUUUACUGAGGUAGUAGAUCGCAUUUUCUUUCUUUCCGAACUCGUCAUGUUGCCCCAGUACGCAACCUAUUGAAUUCUCGAACACAGUCAAAUAUAAUAUCAAUGGCCUUCCCGGCAUUGGUGGUACUAGCACUGGAGGACUAGACAAAUACUGUUUUAUCUUGUUAAAAGCCACUUGGCACUCCUUGUUCCAUUCUCCGGGAUUAUGUUUUCGAAGGAUUCGAAAGAUUGGGUCGCAUUGGUUGGUAAGUUGAGCGAUAAAUCGGGCGAUGUAGUUUAAUCUCCCUAAAAAUCCUCUGACUUCCUUUUGCGUGCGCGGAGGUGGUAACUCUUGAAUGGCUUUUAUUUUAUCUGGAUCAACUUCAAUGCCUCUCUCACUAACAAUGAAGCCAAGCAAUUUUCCUGAGGUAGCCCCAAACGUACAUUUGGCCGGAUUGAGCUUUAGCUGGAACUUUCUCAGUCUGUCGAACAACUUCUUCAGGUUCACUACAUGCUCUUCUUC